UCAUGUAUUAUUUACGUAUUUGGCUAAGCGUAAUUGCGACGUGCAGUCCAGUUUUACGUUUUCUCGUUAAUCCUCGCCUGGUCUUCGUCGCAGGACGUGGAGCCGCCUGUUGUUGUUCGUGUUGUUAAAACGCAAUCGCGAUGUCUACGCAAAAUGUGGGAAAUGAGGAAAACGCAGCCUCGAAGUCAAAGCGACCUUCAGAUUCGGCCUUCAAGCAGCAACGUCUGCCCGCCUGGCAGCCAGUGUUAACAGCGAGAACAGUGCUGCCAACGUUCUUUGUGAUUGGCAUUCUCUUCAUACCCAUUGGCGUGGUGCUGCUGCACUUUUCCAAUACGGCCAACGAGGUGAUUGUCGAUUACACACAGUGCAAACAGAUUGGGGGCAAUCAAACCUGCGCUGAUUUUCUCAAGAACAACAACGGCGGACGUUGCCUCUGCGAGGAGAACGUGCAUCUGCCCGUCGACUUUAAUGGCGAUGUGUACAUGUAUUAUGGUCUGACCAAUUACUAUCAGAACCAUCGACGCUAUGUGAAGUCGCGUGACGAUGAGCAGCUGCUCGGUCGCCUCUCGUUAACCCCGAAUUCGGAUUGCACACCGUUUGCCUACACGGACGAUGGCACGCCCAUUGCGCCAUGCGGAGCCAUUGCCAAUUCCCUGUUCAAUGACUCACUGACUCUAAGUCUAAACAAUGAGCCCAUCAAAUUAUUUAACACGGGAAUUGCCUGGCCAUCGGAUAAGCGCGUCAAGUUCCGCAAUCCGGAGGGUAACUUGAACAAGUCCUUGGAGGGAUUUGCGAAACCAUUGUUCUGGCAAACCGGACUUGCUGAUUUGGAUCCAUUGAAUCCCGACAACAAUGGCUUCCAAAAUGAAGAUCUCAUUGUUUGGAUGCGCACGGCUGCCCUGCCCAGUUUCCGCAAAUUGUAUCGUCGCUUGAACCAAACAGUUCCCGAAUAUGCCAAGGGUCUCAAGGCUGGCAAUUACACGCUGCACAUUACCUACAAUUAUCCGGUUGUUUCAUUUGAUGGCACCAAACGAAUGAUUCUGUCGACCACCUCAGUGCUGGGCGGCAAGAAUCCAUUCCUAGGCAUUGCCUACAUCGUCGUGGGCGCCAUUUGUGUGACACUUGGACUGGCGCUGCUCUUCAUUCACAUGCGUUGCAGCCGCAGCGUUGAAUUUAGUUGAAGCACAUGUACUCAUCAAGUUCCCAUCCAACAAACUUGGCUGUCAAAAUAGAAAAACUAACUUUGCAGCAACAUGGAGAUGAUUAACGUGAAUCCACACACGCAGUACUCCUAGAGGCAACGGAUUUGACAUGAUAGUAUUUUUGGCAAUGCUGUUUCUGCGACUCGCCCACGCACCAAUUUUUUUUAGCCUUAGUAGUAUCUUGUUUAAGAAUAAUAAUUUAUAUGUAAAGUAUGUCCUAUGUCAACAGAAUACAACACACUUAGAUUCUAUAUUUGUAUGUAUUACACGGCAUUGUCGUUGGCUGUGUCCUAUUUCUUUUACUUGUUAUCAUUGAGUAAUUUGUACAUUUCUUGUUUUUCCUUUCUUGAUUUUUGUUUUGUUUGAUAUAAUGAUAUAAUUAUUCGAUUCGUCUUGAAAUCCACCUGACAACGUUUUUUGACAUUCAAUCAAUUGUCACCUCAACGAAACUAGACCAAAACAAGCUAAUUGAGCUAACUUUAUAUAUAUCUGCCCCACACAUACAUUAAAGUAUUUAUUAAUAUUUAACAAAACUUAAAAACAAUUAAAACUUUUUGUGCCUCUGCCAAACACGGCUAACAACAAAUCAGUUUAUUAUUAAGGCAAUUCGAUAUGAGUGAAUGUGCAUUGAUAUUUUGUUAAAUAAUGCUUGUGCAAAUAAAUCCUGAACUCUGCAAAAUUA